CCAGUGAUUCAUUGCACCGUGCAGGCGCUCAGGCGCCCAAUUAGCAUCUGGAAGACUAGGCGAAACUGGGGUGUAUGCUGGAAUUGUGGGACAUCUAAAAUUUUAAUCCUAAGCACUGAGGAAAGGACACGUUCCCACAAGUCCACGACCUAGGGCGUCAGUGAUGACAGGAAGAAGAGCCUGAUAGAUGGCGGCUCCGAGGGUGUGGAUCACACACUGCCAUCUGCAAAGAGGAACCUCGUCAGAUCAGGAGAAUGUCUUUUACUGUCAGGAUUUGGAAAACUUCAGGACGAAUAAGGACAGCACUGUUGAAACAGACUGGUUUCAAAGACAGACUUAUCAGCCUGGAAAAUAUGGGAGCACCUGCAAUUAUGUGC